ensembl:snRNA U6 U6 spliceosomal RNA
GUGCUCAAUUUGUCAGCACAUAUACUAAAAUUGAAAUGAUACUGAGUAAAUUAGCAUGACCUCUACACAAGGGUCACAUAAAACUUUGUGAAGCAUUACAUCUUUUG